rnacentral:rRNA from 1 species
UGCCAGACUCCUACGGGAGGCAGCAGUGAGGAAUAUUGGUCAAUGGGAGGAAUCCUGAACCAGCCAUGCCGCGUGCAGGACGACGGCUCUACGAGUUGUAAACUGCUUUUGUACCGGGGUAAAAUGCCUUACGAGUAGGGUUUUGAAAGUACAGUACGAAUAAGGAUCGGCUAACUCCGUGCCAGCAGCCGCGGUAAUACGGAGGAUCCGAGCGUUAUCCGGAUUCAUUGGGUUUAAAGGGUGCGUAGGUUGUUUUAUAAGUUAGCGGUGAAAUACCGAUGCUCAACAUCGGGGCUGCCGCUAAUACUGUAGGACUAGAGAUCGGAUGCAGCAGGCGGAAUGUGUAGUGUAGCGGUGAAAUGCUUAGAUAUAACUUAGAACUCCGAUAGCGAAGGCAGCUUACCAGACUGCGACUGACGCUGAAGCACGAGAGCGUGGGUAGCGAACAGGAUUAGAUACCCCCGUAC